rnacentral:lncRNA from 1 species
GUAUCCUAAGUACAUGUAUGCCCCAUCCGCACAAUCAUUUUCUAUGUUCAGUGGACCUUGACAAUGGGGAAAAACUCUAAUUUGACAUUAAAAUUAGAAAGAUCAUAUCAUAGGGAAUAUGUGUACUAAGUUUCAAGUUGAUUGGACUUCAACUUCAUCAAAAACUACCUCGACCAAAAGCUUAAACCUGAAGCAGGACAGACGAACGGACAGACGAACGGAUGCACAGACCAGAAAACAUAAUGCCCAUAAAUAGGGCAUAAAAAGUAAAUUGCAUAACAAUAAUAUGGCAGGAUAAUUAUAUGAAAUUGUUUAACCUAAAAG